GCUAGCUCUGAUUCUUCAAAUAGAUACAGUGUUAACCAGCUUUUUCAGUCAGUGAUUUGAAGCAGGAAGUGAAAAAGAAAGACCAAAACCCAAUUGGGAAACGCAUUCACAAAGUACCGUUAUGCUUACAAUUCAAUUAAUCAAACAUCUCGGAAACAUCACAAGCCUACAGUAGUUAGUAACUACAAUCAACCCUAUUGUUUCUUUGCUUGCAAUGAAUUAUAAGCAUUCUUCGAAAAUGCACAUAAAAUCACAACAUGCUCAAGCAAUCAACAAUAUUUUAUGAUGUAAAUCACGUACCUUAUUUGUUAUUGGCCCCUUCU
rnacentral:misc_RNA from 1 species